GACUCAGAACGAACGCUGGCGGCGCGUCUUAAGCAUGCAAGUCGAACGGCAAGAGGUAGCAAUACCUCCUAGAGUGGCGGACUGGUGAGUAACACGUGGGUGACAUACCCUUCAGAUGGGGAUAGCUAUUAGAAAUAGUAGAUAAUACCGAAUACGAGCACAGGGGUUAGAGAUCUGUGAGGAAAGGAGCUAAGGCUCCGCUGAAGGAAUGGCCUGCGGCCCAUUAGCUAGUUGGUGAGGUAAGAGCCCACCAAGGCGCUGAUGGGUAUCCGGCCUUAGAGGGUGAACGGACACAUUGGGACUGAGAUACGGCCCAGACUCCUACGGGAGGCAGCAGCUAAGAAUAUUCCGCAAUGGACGAAAGUCUGACGGAGCGACGCCGCGUGGAUGAAGAAGGCCGGAAGGUUGUAAAAUCCUUUUGAAACUGAAGAAUAAGCGUUGUAGGGAAUGACAGCGUGGUGACAGUAGGUUUUGAAUAAGCAACGGCUAAUUACGUGCCAGCAGCGGC
rnacentral:rRNA from 1 species